GACGAACGCUGGCGGCGUGCUUAACACAUGCAAGUCGAACGGAAAGGCCCUGCUCUUGUUGGUUGCUCGAGUGGCGAACGGGUGAGUAACACGUGAGUAAACUGCCCUUGACUUUGGGAUAACAUCAGGAAACUGGGGCUAAUACCGGAUAGGAUCUCCUGCAGCAUGGUGGUGGAUGGAAAGAUUCGGCGUUUGUGGAUGGACUAGCGGCUUAUCAGCUUGUUUGGGGGGUAGUUGCUUACCAAGGGUUUGAAGGGUAGCCUGCCUGAGAGGUUGAACGGGCACAAUGGGACUGAGGUAGGGACCAGACUGCUACGGGACGCAGGAGUGGAGAGUAUGGCGGAGUGGGGGGAAGUGUGAUGCGGAAGUGUCGGGUGCGGGAUGACGGGUUUCGGGGGGUGAACAGAUGUGGACUGUGACGUGGAGGUAGUGACGGUAAUGAGUAAGAAAGCACCGGCUAACUACGUG
rnacentral:rRNA from 1 species